AUUGAACGCUGGCGGCAUGCCUUACACAUGCAAGUCGAACGGUAACAGGUUAAGCUGACGAGUGGCGAACGGGUGAGUAAUGUAUCGGAACGUGCCCAGUCGUGGGGGAUAACUGCUCGAAAGAGCAGCUAAUCCCGCAUACGACCUGAGGGUGAAAGCGGUGGAUCGCAAUACCUCGCGCGAUUGGAGUGGCCGAUACUAUAUUAGGUAGUUGGUGAGGUAAAGGCUCACCAAGCCGACGACCUGUAGCUCAUCUGAAAGGACGAGCAGCCACAGUGGGACUGAGACACGGCCCAGACUCCUACGGGAGGCAGCAGUGUGGAAUUUUGGACAAUGGGCGCAAGCCUGAUCCAGCCAUGCCGCGUGCGGGGAGAAGGCCUUCGGGUUGUAAACCGCUUUUGUCAGGGAAGAAAAGGUUCUGGCUAAUACCUGGGACUCAUGACGGUACCUGAAGAAUAAGCACCGGCUAACUACGUG
rnacentral:rRNA from 1 species